rnacentral:misc_RNA from 1 species
AACGCACCUUGCACCCCUUCGGGUCUCUCGACUCUGGGGUACGCCUGUUUGAGAGUCUGUUAAACAUCAAGUGUAGUCUUUUUUCGAAAAGUCUACCUUGGAUUUGGGUGUUUUGCCGGCGCUCGCGUCGGCUCACCUUAAAUAUAUUAGCUGGGACGAUUAUUUCGGUUUACUUGACGUCGUAAGCAUUCGUCAAGGACGCGCCAGUCGCGACCGAAUAUAUAUCAUUACCGCUUCUAAUCGUCAUGAAGCUCUGCGGAAACGCUUUGCUGGACAAGCUUUUGACUUGGACCUCAAAUCAGGUGGGACUACCCGCUGAACUUAA